ensembl:misc_RNA Metazoa_SRP Metazoan signal recognition particle RNA
GCCGGGUGUGGUGGCUCACGCCUGUAAUCCAAGCAUUUUGGAGGCCAAGGUGGGCGGAUCACCUGAGGUCGGGAAUUCAAGACCAGCCUGACCAACAUGGUGAAACCCUGUCUUUA